UUUGUUGGGAAGGAGCGAUUCAUAUUUAUUUGGUGUGAACUGAAACAAAGAAAAUUAAUAUUUCAAUUGCUGCGAAUUUAUUUAUUAAGAAAUAUAAUCCUUCCGUUUUGAAAGUUCUUAAGGAAAUAUUUGAAUGCCUGGGCGUGAAUAUGGUGAGGCUGUGAAAAUUGUGCCUCUGUCAAUGCGUGGUAUUUCCUUCAACGUAGGAGGUCGAUUGAAUACUUUCAAAGAAGAAGCGGUGGGUCAUACUUAUUUCGACAUUCUUCCUUCUGAGAAACGAGGUGCUAUAAAUCGAAGGUUGUUCCUGUGCAUGGUGAUAUGAAUGGAAAUACUGAAGAGAUCAUGGGUUGUUUGGGCACUCUUGUGCUUCGAAUUGAAUUAUUUUAAGCUUAGUCUUCCCUCUUUCUUGCACGCACUGGAGUAUGUGAUCUAUGGAAGAAGUUUGAGCAGGUCGAGGGCUUCUUACUUGGACGUGGUUGCAUUUGCCAGGAUCGUAAUUAACUUCUGGAGGUUGUGGGCAUAAUUUGAAAUGGUUUCUGAGUCUGCCAGUUGUAAUUAGUUGAGUACCUCUGCACAAUAUGCAUUAAUCGACCUUGUCUAUUUCUGGUGACUUGUGUCUGGCAUUACUUCUGAGUUGGAGUGCUAAUAUCAUCAGGUAUGACCGUAGGAAUCCAUCACAGGACAUUUUGUAUAUGCUGGGUGAUAAUCAGCAGAAGAAAUGUUGUGAGUUCUUGCUCAUUGAUCGUGGCUGUUGGAAUUUCUUCUUCAUAUCAGAAAUUUGUGGCCUAUUUUCUGAGAUUGCUGGCAGCUUGGUUCUGUCUUGUUCCUGUCUAGGACACGUGGGUUUUGAUAGGAGCUGUAGCUUCUUGUUUGUAGGCCUUCACUAAGGGAGUACUUUGGGGUGAUACAAAGCUGAUCAGUGUACUAUUCAUGCAUCAAAUACAUCUGCGGUUAACAUACAGAUUUAAAGCAUAUUCUCUGCGUGUUUCCUUUCAUGCCAUUAGUCUUGGCUGCAGAUCUGUAUGUGAGCAAAUAUUAAGGAAAACUUGAAGCUUAUCAUCCUUAUAAAUUGA